GACAGAGGGGGCAAGCGUUGCUCGGAAUCACUGGGCGUAAAGGGCGCGUAGGCGGGAUGGCAAGUCGGUCGUGAAAUCUCUCGGCUCAACCGAGAAACGUCGGCCGAUACUGCCGUUCUUGAGGGAUGCAGAGGAGACUGGAAUUCCCGGUGUAGCGGUGAAAUGUGUAGAGAUCGGGAGGAACACCGGUGGCGAAGGCGGGUCUCUGGGCAUUUCCUGACGCUGAGGCGCGAGAGCGUGGGGAGCAAACGGG
rnacentral:rRNA from 1 species